AUCGAAUUUGUCUUUCACGGCGUAUCGGCCGAAUACGAACUCAGCAUUUUGAGCAGUGAUCAACUUCUCAUUUCACUUUCAGGGGGUGCGUUUGUUUUGUAUCAAAAGUAUACAAGCAAUGUGUGACGUUGAUACCUGAUCCCAACCAAUUUGAGGGAUUAGUGUUGUAUAUCAAAGCAAGAAGCCUAUCCGUGUUUGACCACAUGUUCCAACCAAAUGGAUCCCCGAGAUGCAAAUUACGGUUCCUGCCACCCCUGACGACCGGCAAUUACCGGGCCUCCGCAGCCAUCGCCGCCGAAGAGGAGGAGGAGGAGGAGGAGGAGGAAGACGCCUCGUGCAUAUUCAUCACUCGGCGGCCAUAUUGAUCGACAAC